CUGACCUUUAGCACUGGAACAUUCUGGGUGAGCCCUGGCCUCUGUCUCCAAUCAUUUCUUAUCUAGAAACUCAAACCACAUUGUUACAUUGUAAACUCUUAGCAAAAUAAACAGGUUUGUAUCUAGGCAUUAUGUCAAAGAAUUUUACAAGUCAUUAAAGUUGUCAAAGGGGGUGUUAAUUAACUUCUCCCUGAGGAGGAAUAAACUGGACUUGAAGAAGAGCUACUGGAUUGUGUUCAAAGCCAGUGAACAAAGAGUGGACAUCCUCCCAGGGACGUUCGGAAGGCUUGCCGGCUGUUGUUGCUGGAAUCUUACCCAUAUGUCGGUCCAGAGAGACGGCUGCCCCAAGGCAGAGUGACUAACUCAUCUGCAGCUAAUUCAGUGAGCAUCAGCCCCAGAGGAGCAGUGCGUGGAGUCUGAGCUCCUUAGUCGUGCCUGAGUCUGGGUAAGCGCCAUACAUUGGAGAAAUGCCUGUUGACUCACCCUCCUUAAGGCAGAUGGCUCAGUUAGCAAUCAGAACAGGGGCUACUGUUGGGAGUUAGAGAUAUGACAUUCUCAAUCUUUGCAGGUUGCUUAUAAACAUGGCUGCCUCUGUAGAGUGCUUCCUGUGUGUCACUAUGCAUUUUGUGAUCAUUGUUUACUUAUUUUAAUUUAAAUUCACAUAGCACUAUUUUGAGCCAGCACUGUUCUAAACCUUUCAAAAUGUUAAUUCCUACAGUUUCAUAAUAACUUUAUAUGUGAGCACAAUCAAUGAUGAAAUUCUCUUUUACAGUUGAUGACACCGAGGCACACGGUAGUUAGGUAAUGAGUAGUUCGAUUGUACCACCAGUAGGUAGUGGGUUGGGGGACAUGAACUGAGACAGUCUGCCUGCAAGGGCCCAGCUCAUGUUAUGUUCAAUGCUCCUGACAGCCCUUUAGGACAGACACUGUUAUCCCAUUCAAUGAGGGAAGAACAUGAGGUUCAGUCCUCUAGGUUUUCUAACUUCUUUCGGUAAGACAUUCAGCUCAGGUCACCUAUCUGGUUGAGAGGUAUCCAGGUUUGGAGUCUGUGUACUCAAUCAGCUGCGCUGGGGAGUAGCCCUUGACCCUUUUCUGAGAACUCUGGAUGAAGAGGAGUUUUCUAUGUGUUGAAAGGUUUUGAAGUUUUUGAGGUCAGGCUUAUUAUCAUUGUCAUUUCAUUCUCCCUAAUGACAGACUUGAGAUGAGGGCCUACAGGUGGAAUGGCAGAAGUCCUGUGAUCAAUUUUCAAAAUGCUUGAGAUCUGAGAAGAGGCAAGGUGGGCAUUUGCAGGGAGCUAAAGCACAGUUACGGAGUGCUCAGUUGACAAAGGCCACGACCAUGACCUCAGGAGAUUCAUGAAAUGCCUCAUCAUACAGUGGAAAUGAUCACAGGCGGGAGACUGGCCGAUCUGAGUUGUCGCCCACCUCCACUGUUAACUUGAUCACUUGGAGUCUCCUCUUCUCACCUGUAAUUUGGUUGGCAGUGCUGACCACACUAGCUUGAGGUGAGGAUGGGGUACAGAGCAGGCAGCCCAGGAAAAUGCUGGUUUGCUUCCUCUGUUUGGAUCAGAGUCUCAUGUGAGCUCUGAAAGGACCCAUCAGAAGCCAUCUCUGCAGAAUAUUUGGCCAGCAAAGAGACGGCCAUGCCAACUUCUCUGUACCCUGGACUCCGGAAAGCGGAGACCUCUCUGGCCAGCAGCAUAGCCCGCUGGGCCUGCUGACGCAAUGGCUCGGGCAGAAAGCCCAGCUCUGCCUGGCCCUUUGCCUGGGUUGCUUGAGCCAAAAGGCAGGAGCCAAGAGGCCUGGCUGGGGAGGUCCAGAGGCCCGGGGCUGCCUCUUUUCUCCAGCCCAGGGCCUGCCUCUUCAUGCUCAGACUGAUACUGAGACAUUUGCAGAAGCAAAAUGGUGAAACUGGUGCCAAAUCUCUCUGCCACAUUCUACACUGACGAUUUAUUUUGUGUUAGGAGGUAAAGACUAAUGAGAAAUAGAGCCAGGCCUGAAAAGCCAUCAAAAUUGGACAUUUGUCUCUCUGAGCUGGGGCUGCAAAGGGGGCCAGGAAGCUAUCGCUUCACAACUUUUUGAAUUCAUUAGAGGAUAGUAAGGGGCUCUGGUCUAGAAAUACUCCUAAAGCAUUUUCUCUCCUCUCCUCUCCUGGCUCAGAGGUCGCAGAGGGACCUGGAGCAUAUGUUCUGUAUUGAUUUGCAUGUGCACACUUUCCUGCAUCCAUUAUCUCACCUCAUUAGGGCUUGGAAGGGGAAGUGGAGCCGAGUGGGACAGCAGCAUGCGGUUUCCUGAACCCUGUGGAGAAUUGUCCCAAACGGUAAAUGAAACAGUUGCAAGGGCCGACCAGGAGCCGGCAGGUGGGCGGGCAUCUCUGGGCCCAGGCCCAGCAAUGCCCGGACAGUUUUGAAGGGUCCAGCUGUGCCGAAGUCACAUGUCCCAGCAAGGGAGCAUCCCAGACUAGGUAGCUUUUGUGAUUGAUGAUCCCAUCUGAACCCAAAGUGUCUGAGCAAAGCCCCAUGGAUCCCCACACACCUGCCUCUCUUGAGCAGUAAAGCAAAUGGUUAAUGGAAAGCAACUCCUUCCCUCAUUCUUGAUGGGAAAGGCUAAAGUUGACCACCUUUUAAAAAUGAGGUCAUAGAACUAUUGUUUAGUUCUUAAUGAAAAUGACAUAGGGAAGACCCCAAGGUCAAGGCUGAUCAAGAAAUGGCAUGGUGAUGGAAGAGAGAGUGCUCAGCUUGCCUGAGUCACUUUCAUGCAGGAAAUAGAUAUAUCUCAACGGAAUAAUUAAAACACAGGUAUAGAAAUGGCCCAACCCUCACUAUACCUCCUAGCAGCCCUGCCUAGGGCUAUCCUCAAAUGUGUGUGUAAUCAUUGCCUUGGAUUCCUGUUUAAUGUUUGCUUUUUGAGAUUUUUCUCUUACACCUCUUUGAGUGAAGAUUUUUGUUUCUGGACCUGGCUCAGCUGUAUGAACAUGAACAAACCAUUUGACUCUCCCAGGUCUCAAUAUUCUCAUCUUUUGAGUAGAUGGUACCAUAUUGUCCUAAUUACAUUGUAGAAAAUUUCUGAAAGCAAGAUGACUAAGUAAUACCUGCCAAUGCACUUUUAUGGUGAUCAAGUGCCAUGCAAAAUGGAUUGGUAUCAUCAGAACAUGGAUUAUCCAUUUAUUUCCCUUGCCUGUGAAAAAGUGUCUUUAUUGAUUAUCUAUUAAAUCCUUUGAAGUAAUCUGGAAUAGCUCUGGUCCUGCUGUAGGCAAAGCAUGAUGAGACUAUAAAAGUGCUCUAUAAGCAUAUUCAAAGUAUGGGAAUUAAGCAAACUCAAGGCUUAUGGAAGAAGGGUGGUGAAUCAGGUAUUUGGUGAUUGUUUUUGCUUCCAUGCAGAAUGGGAAUGGGCAAUGGAACAUAGCUGCCUGGUGGUCCCAGGAAGAGCAGAGGGAAGGCUCCAGGUUGAUGGGGUGUAAGGAAGAUGCAUGGGUACUCUACAGGAAGAGAUUAGGUGCAGCCAGUCACGGAGCUGUGAAAUGGCUCAGGUCAGGGUGUGAGAUCAUCCCUUCAUUGAUUUUGGUUUCCACUCGACAGAUCACAAGUUGUCAGAAGUGCUUUUCACCCUGUGUUCUCUGAAUAAAGUUUCUCAGGGCCCUGUACUUUAUCAGCUCUAAAUUAAGUGGUUCACAGUGCCAUUUGCUUUAAGGUAACUUGAAAAGAAAUCAUUAGGCCCUAGAACACACAGUACAGAAAAGUGGAGUGGAUUAGAAAGUAAAAUCAGGCAUCAGGAUGACAACAGUUUACUCUCAUGGAAAGGAAUAUCCUGCCAACUGUUCCCAUACACUUCUCUUUCAAACAUCCCCUGAUUACCAUUUUAAAACAUGUGCUUAUUCAGCUGCUCUCUGAGUCUGCAGUUUGGCAAAGUAAGUUGGUAGUGUUAGCCCUUAUGUCCCAGCUCAGGUGCAAGGCAUGCUGGGGCUCAGUUACAGAAUCCAGAAGCUGUUAACUCCAGAUAUUCAACCGGAAGUGGGCAUGGCCGUGGGGGAUGCUGGGAGAUGGUUGAAAAGCAGACCAGGCUGGCUGUGGUGGCGGUUCCAUGAUCAUCCUGCCUUCAGUUUUUCAUCCUAAAAGAGAGUCUAGAAGAAAAUACAGAGGCCGAGUGUUCAGACCCAGCCACAUAAACAAUGUCCAGGGUUGAGCUCAGAUUCGAGACAGGAAGGCAUCCUGCACAAAGAGGGCAACUGGUGCCUGUGGCCUGCCUUGAUCCAGGCACUAGAGCAAAGCUUGACUUAAGGCCACACAGAAGCAUGGGCUUGGGCCUCCCAUGCUGGGGCUGGGGUGCCCUUGGCAGGCAGAACUUAGAAUCCUGGCCAUGUUGAUGGGGCUACCAGUGACAACUCAAACCCCUUUUGGCUAGCCCUAUGUGGUAAUUAGGUAAGGCAUUGGGCCUGCCUUAAUCUGGAUAGAGAUUUCAAAAUAUGGUCCUACAAGCACCCAGAGGAGUCUGACUUUUGGGAUAAAGUAGUCCCCAUUAAAUAUUAUUUGCUGGUAUUGAGGUAUAGAACUAUAAAACAGGAAGUUUUUUUUCUUUGGAAUGACCAUCUUUUAUACUUUUGACAUUGCUUAGAAGAAGAGGGGAUACAUAGUGGUUCUAGGAGACUUUACCAUUUCUACUCAACUCCACCCAUGAUCAUUUUAGUGACUUUUCUGGUGGUGGAACUGGACUUGAGAGUAGUCAAUUAAUAGGACAUACAGCAAACUAAUUGUUCAAAUUAGGCUUUUAACCUCUGGCUUCCAUCUACAAGCCAAACUUGUUCCACUUGGUAGGAGGUAGUUUUAACAACCGUGGCUGAUUGAAGGAGGCAGAAUCAGUGUGCACAGAAAUUUUGUCAUAAUUAGGGAAGGAAGGAAAAGUAACUAUCCAGGAAAUGACUUGGGUGUAGGUUGUAGGUUGGGCCUUUCUUGCAGGCAAUGAGGAAUCUGAAGGCAAAACUUUAGUCUUGAAUCUCUGAAGGGAAGUCAGUCUUGUUUGAAAAGGUUUUUGGGUUCUUAACAAUAUCCAGUUCUUGAAAAUCACAAACAUGCCUGGCUCAACUGAAGUCAAUAAGGAUUUUUCUUAAGUCCUGUGUUUAUUGGCCAGUACUACCUGAGUAGGACCCACAUGGGCACCUGAACAGUGGGUGUUAUAAGAUUGUGAUGGUGAUAGUAAGCACUGAGGUGAAUUUCCUGAACCUAAACUUGUAUGUCAUUAUCCUGCUGAGAGAGCAGUUUCCUGUUGCAUUGCUAAAUGAUUCUCUUUAUUAUAUUUAAGGCACAAUGUUUAGUGAUUUACUCCUCUUUGUAAUUAGCUGGGUGAUGAGAGGAAUCUUUCAGUGAUUCUGUUCUUUCUCUUUAAUAACACAUUCACAGGGAGUCUGAAGGUGACAUACUGCUUACUGAGCAAAGGAACAUUUAGAGUUAGGUCAUAACAUUUUUGCAAAGUGAAAAGAAAUUGAAAUUGUCUCUGGAGAUUAUUAUCAAUUAUGUCUGUAAAAAUAUGCCACGCAAUUCCAAUGGCUGUUCUAUCUUCUUUAAAAGAUGUUUGUGAAAGUAGCAGCUCUUCAAAAUGCAACCACCGAGAGAUAGGGCAGACAUUGCAAAUUUCUGAAGCCUUGCUCUAAAAUAAGCUACUAGAGGGCAAAAUUGAAUAUUGAAGUGGUGCCACCUUGGAGAUCUUUUUCAGAAGGGAGAGAUGUUUUUUCCUCUUUACUGUGAUAGAUCACCCAUCGUAUUCCCUUCAAAAGUGGAUCAUUAGGAGGCUGUUUUUGCAUGGCCAAUGUUGUCCAGAAUGUAGUUGUUUGGUAGGAGUAAAAGCUCUGAUUGAAACAUUCUGUAGUCACCUACAUCGGUCUCCUUUUUCUUCACAGGAGGUUUGGAAGAGGGAGAAGGGCCAGAAUUAUUUCCUUAAGUCAUGCUCUGUGAGUUAGAGUGUAUGUACAUGUUCAUCUGAAUGUGUUUGGGGGAAGAUGAUGGCAAGGGAGAGUGGCCAGCCAAAGGAUAUCCCAUGAUAGCACUUCCUGUCCCAGUUCCCAGCUCCCUCUGGGGUGAUACUAGGACAAAUAUAGAGCCAAUUAAGUUUCACUUACAUGUUAGGCUCUGCAUUUGAGGACUGCAGAGGCUCUUUACUUUAACCUAGUAGUUCUUGACUUUUUCAGUACCAGGGCCCUUAGACUUUCGCAACCAGAUAAAGAAAUGAACAGCAAAGGACACAAUCAACAGAGUAUAGAGAACAGUUAUGGAUCAGGAGAAAAUAUUUGCGAACCAUGCAUUUGAUGUGGGUUUAAUAUCCAAAAUGUAUUAGGAACUCAAACUGUUCAAUAGCAAGAAACACAAGUAGCUCAAUGAAAAAACGAGCAAAGUACUUUGCCCAUGUCAAAAGACAUUUCUCAAGAUAAGUCAUACAAAUGGCCAAUAGGUAUAUGAAGAAAUGCUCAACAUCACUAAUCCUCAAAGGCUGAAAAAUCAAAAUCACAAUGAGCUAUCAUCUCACACUUCUUAGAAGAGCUAUUAUCAAAAAAAGUUGAAGAUUGACAAGUGUUGGGUGAGGAUGUGGAGAAAAGGUAAUCAAUGUGUGCUGUUGAUGGGAGUAUGAGUUACUAUAAGCCAUUAUAAAAUAAAGUGUGGUGGUUCCUCAGAAAAUUAAAAAUAGCACUACCAUGGGGUCCAGUACUCCCACCUCUGAGUACGUAUCCAAAGGGUCUGAUAUUAGUAUCUUGAAGAGAUACCUGCACUCCCAUGUACACUGCAGCAUUAUAUUUACAGCAACUAAGAUAUGGAAUCGAAUUAAGUGUCCAUAGAUGGAUGAAUGGAUAAAGAAAAUGUGGUGUUUUGUGUAUGUAAAUAUAUGCCAUAUGCAUUACAUAAAUUUAUUCUAUUACCUAUCCGUAUGUAGACCAUGGUGACCAUACUUAAUAAUUAAUUUGAAAUUUGCUAGGAAUAGAUUUUCAAUAUUUUCAUGCCCUCAAAAAACACAGUGAAGAUGCAGAACUGGGAAAAGGGAGUUAGAAGGUGCAGAGCCAGAGCAGGAGCAGGAACCUGAGCCUGAGCCAGGUGCCAGAGCAGAGAGCACACUGGUGCAGCCAGGCCACCAUGCAGAGCUGGCCUGGUAGCCCUUCCACGACCCGUGCCCAGCAGGAGAGGCAGCAGCCCCUUGCGUGCAUCCCUGACAGCUGUACUCUAGACUGGCCUGCUGGUCAUGUGCCUGAGGGCAGAUCCUGAGUCAGGUUUUGCUCAACCUCCAACAAGGGCUGAUAAGAGAGGAGAAAGGAGAAAUGUAUUUACAGAAAAUAGAAAGGAAGGAGUAUCCAUAAGAAAAGGCUUCAUCACCACUUCUUCUUCCUGGCCCUCUUUGCAAUGGACUUGGCUUUGUGCUUCACGGGUUUGGCCUUCUUGGGCUUGGACACCUUGAUGGGCUUGGUUUUGACAAUCAUGGGUGUUUUGUUUUGGGGGGGGGGGGUGUGACAGCCAGCUUCUUGGCCUUCUUGACUGUGGGAACACCUUUGGAAGGUGCCUUCAACAGUAGGACCAGUCAGGCCACCAUGACCAAGAACUCCACAUCCACUCCUGUGGACAAACCCACGUGAGCCAAGGUCUCUAAGAAGUCCAUAGACCACCCCGAGUAUUCAGAUGUGAUCAUGGCUGCCGUCCAGGCUGAGGAGAACCAUGCUGACCCCUCCCUUCAAUCCAUCCAGAAGUAUAUCAAGACUCACUACAAGGUGGGUGAGAACACCAACCCAGAUCAAGUAGUCCACCAAGUUCCUGGUGACCACCAGUGUCCUCAAGCAAACCAAAGGGGUAGGUGCCUGAGGGUCCUUCUGUCUGGCCCAAAGCAACAAGCCCAACAGGUCAGUGGCCCUCAAAAAGACCAAGAAGGAAGUCAAGAAGAUGGCCACACCAAAGAAGGCAUGGAGCCCAAGAAGGCUGCCACCAAAACCCCAAGCAAGAAGCCCAAAGCCCCCGCCCCAGUCAAGGAGAAGCUGGCUGUCAUGCCCCCCAAAACCAGAAAACUCAAGAUUGUCAAGGCAUCCAAGCCCAAGAAGGCCAAACUAGUGAAGCCCAAAGCCAAGUCCAGUGCCAAGAGGGCCUGCAAGAAGUGAUAGUGAAGGCUUUUCUUAGGGAUACUCCUUCCUCUCUGUUUUCUCUAAAUCCUUUUCUCCUUUCUUCUCUCUUGAUCCUCAUCUGCAACCCUUUGCCCCAUUUUAUUCUGACUUGAUAAGAGACAGAAUUUGGAUUCCUCAGAAAUUGUGGAAUGAUUCUCUUUUUCUUAAAGAGUUGUGCAAGGACAGCAACCACAAAUCUCAUCUGGGUAAUGAUGAGGAUGCACUUAUACUUUGUUUUGUUGAUUUGUUAGUCAUUUAUGCAGUUAGGGAUUUGGGUGGGUGGGUGUGUUUUUGUGGGUGGUUUGUUUGCCAUGAACAUAGAUGGAGGAGGAGAGCACAGGCAGGUUGGUUUGUUCUGGCGAGCUGAGAGGGAGCCCAGGAACAGUAGCGGUUGCAGAAGUAUCUUUUUUUUUUUAAUAUAUAUAUAUAUAUAUAUAUAUAUAUAUAUAUAUAUAUAUAAGUUGUAGUUGGACACAAUACCUUUAUUCUUAUGUGGUGCUGAGGAUUGAAUCCAGGGCCUCAAUGUGCUAGGCGAGUGCUCUACCACUAAGGAGUAUCUUUAAGUCUUUAAAUUGGGCACCCUUUUGAGAGUUUCAGAACCUUUGUUGUGGAGGAAAGGGCCAGCAGCUGCCAGCAGCAAAGGAGGGAGGGAGAGAAAACUCUCCCUGGGCUGACCUCCCUGUGGUGAGCAGCUAAUGCACCUCCCAGUCAGCUAGAAACUAGCCAUUGGAGGGUCUUUGUAGAUUCUCAAAGUCCCCUAUUAAAUGGGACUGGAAACUCUUGGGGAAGGGCUGGGGGUGGUGGUGGGGAAUCAGUUAGCCAAGUGCUUUAGUGUGCCCUGUUGUAACUUUGGGGUUUUCCCACCUAAUUGAUGGGUUGUGUCCUAGGAGGACUUUUGGUUGUUGUCCCUCCUGUAUAAGACAUGGCUUUACUUGGUCUCACUAGCCAUUUAAAAACCUCCAGACCUCUUUUCUACUUCCGCAUCUUUUAUAAGUAGUUGUGGACGGAAGGGGGGGGAGUAUGCUCAUGCCAGGAGUGGGUAGUAAGAGACUGUAGUUCAUUUUGAAUUUGCCAAGUAGCGUUAGACAGCUAUGUGCAUGUGCUGUGCACGUGUGUACGUGUCUAUAUACCUAUCUUGGGCUAGUACUUAAUGUUUCACACCAGGGGCUGGGAAGAUAAGUCUGUACAGUUGUCUUAUUCUUAUUUUUAACAAAAUAAGAAAAUUACUCACUUGUGCAUCCCCCCUUUUUUUCCACAUUUUUUAAAACAAGUGUUAUUUGUGCUGGGAAAACAUUCGCUGUUGUAAUUUUAAAACUUUAAAAUAAAAUUUGGGAAAGGAAAAAAAUAGUGAGAUAAUAGGUAUGUUAAAUAGCUUGAUAGUGGUAAUUAUUUUAUAAUAUAUAUAUUUUUAAAAUAUAUUUGUAUUACAUGUAUAUGUGAAUUAAACAUUCACGUUGCAAUGUUGCAUACUUUAAAUGUAUACAAUUUCUUUUUUUAAAUUUCUUAGUGGUAGUCAGACACAAUACCUUUAUUUUAUUUAUUUAUUUUAUGUGGUGCUGAGGAUCGAACUGAGCGCUUUACCACUGAGCCACAACCCCAUCUCUAAAUGUGUACAAUUUUUAUUCAUCAAUUAUACCUCAAUAAAGUUGGAAAACAAAGUCUAAGUAUAUGGUAGAUUAAUGUUAGAGCUCUAAUUGGUGGAUGAUGAGGUUUUCCUUGGAUAUUGUAUUUAAAAUGUUUCUUGCAAUUCAUCAUGAUAUAUCAUUGAUGAUCAAGAUACUUGGCAUAUGUUGAUUUUUGAGCAGUCUGUUUUCUUGGUGUUUAUAUGUAGAAACCUUGAAAGGUUGUAUAUUUCAGUCCAAAGAUAUACUUUUGUAUUAUUUUGGUAGUCUUUUACCUAGGAUUAGGAAAAAAGCAUGUUUUAUUUUGCUUUAUGGGAAUUACAUGAGUUAAUGGACCUGACGAUUCUUCCAGAAUUUUGAUGGAUAUUAGCACUUUGUUUAUUCAGAAAAAGACUAUAUAGUAUGGUGAACCAAAAUGAUGUGAUAUUUCCUAUUUCAUUGUUCUCAGAAACAUAGCUUCACUAUCUUUUCAUUUAUGCUAUUUGCAGAUCUUACUUUCACUUGGUGUAACUCCAGCAUUCUAGGAAAAGCCACUUAUGUUAAAGGUGACAUUGCUCUCUCUUUUGGAACAUGCACUUGGCAAGGAAUUCAUUAGCCAGACAGAUGUUUAUGUCACUGUCAAAUUGCAAUUGCUAAUUUUUUUUUGUUUCUGCUUAUGGGAAUAACACAAGCUAUUAGACAUUAAUGAGCAAUGAGUAACUUUCUGUGACCUUUUAGGGAAUCUGAGAUAAACAGCAGUCAUUAUUUCAAGGGUAACUUCCUAUCAUUGUGUUCUUACUAAAACCUUAAAAUAGCCUGAGUUCAUAAGGUGACCAAGAUGCAUAUGAUGAGGAUAUUGGUUGAAAACCCUGUGUCAAAGUAUAAACUCAAUGCAGGAGGCAUUUGGAGUUGCUCAAGGGAAGGAAAAACUUCAAAUAGCACACACACACACACACAAAAAAAAAACAUUGAUUGUUGUUCUAUAUUUAUAUAUGGAGGUUUGUAAAGUGAAAAAUCAGAGGAACGAAUUAGUAAGAAAAUUAGAAAAGUUUAUGCACAAAUAAGUGACAUGAAUGGAGACUUGUCAUACCCACAGUCCAGUUUUGCCAGGGCAGUGGGGGUAGAUUGUGGAAAGGCCAAAGAAAGUGCCCAGAGACAGCAUGUGAGACAUAUAUUGGUGAAAGUUCACAAGAGACCAGAAAAUGAUCUAAAAAGAGGUCAGUGGUGACAGGCUGAACAGAUAGCACCUUUGUGCCUCAAAGUGCUUUACGGAGCAGCACCUCCUCUCCCUCAUGGCAUUUGGUUCAGUGAUGGCUAUCUAGAUGAGUGACAUGUAUCCUUUCCAUAUUGUCCUCAGUUUCACAGCAGUCCCCACUCAGAGAGGGGUUUUACGUGUUAGACUGCAGAAGCAGUGACAUCAUUAGCAUUAGCUUUCUUAGUUUGCUUGUAUAAUAAGCAUCCCAAAGAGCAACUGUCCUGGUUUAUGAGCAAGAAAGUAGCUUUCUACAGAUAACAUUAAUUUGCCAAAUUUCCCAGUAGGUAUAAGAGAAAGCCAGUAUCCUUCAAGAUAAUAUGUAUCUGGACUUUCCAGCCCAGGUUUGCUCUAAUUGUUCCCUUAACUUGGCUAGAUUUUUAGGAACUGAAAGGGGCAUUCAGAGACCUGGUAUUUUGCUGUCCCCCUUUUCUUUAGGAAUAAUACAAGGCUGAAACAAAGGAGUCAGAGAGAUAAAUUUAAGCGCCACUAUUCAGAAGAAGUUGUCAUUGUUAGGCUAGUUAUGUAAGCAAAACAAAAUGAAAUAAAAAAAUAUAUCAAAGAUGUCUUUAAGGUUAAGACAAACUGGAAAUGUCCGUCUCUUUGGGAAACUUUAAAUGGCAGUGAACAUCAGAGUGAAAAACCUGGGCAGAGGUGGAAGGAAGCUCCACAUCAUGCAGAUUGCUCAUUCCAGAGAUGAGGACACUGGGGCACAGCCAAGUUCAACAUGUUGCCUAACCAGUGACUCUCCUGGGAUCACUACCCGCCCAUGGUGCUUAGAUUGACAAGAUGCCUUGUCAGUGCCUCAUAGACAAAACAUAAAAGAGAAUGAAUAUAUCAGUGUUUCAGAUACCGUGGUGGCGUACUCAUGGGUGGAGACCAAAGGUUUAAGAAUGAAGUGGGGUCUAGGAACUGCUCAUUUAAAACCAGCUUAUAAGGACAAAAGGCAUAGAGAAAUGGAUAUACAAGAAUGAGCAAUUAGCCCCAAACUCCAUCAGUAGGAUCAUGCAACUGUAGGAUCUUAGAUGUGAAAGAGUUCCUGGGAAGCUCAAGCUGGGAUUGGAGUGCGGGGUGGGAGAGGACGAUCUCUGGGGAUACCACUGAGGGCGUUCUAUGUCCCUGUAAGAUGCUCAAGAAUUUUAAGGUUAUCUGUGGGAGGCACAAGGCUGGCCAGUACGCUAUAGCUAUUAAGUCAGAUGCGCCAGUUGUCUUGGUCAUCCUCACUGGAGAGAUACAAAUUAGCUUGGUGAGCUUGGGACUCCCAUAGAACCCUCAAGUAAUACUAGAGAAGACCCUGGGGCCUUUGUUAAUUCUAAGAGUUGGUUAGAAGCCAAGCUUAGCUAUUUUGAAAGCUUGAGGACCUCUGUGGAGGAGAGAAGAGGGAUGAUGACUGUCAUCAAUAGACAGUGACUCCAAGGGUUGACCUUGACUCUUCAAAAACAGUGGGAAAAUCUGUCUACUCUGAAUUGCAGAGCUUGUCCUAGGAUCCCCAAUGACACUUCCUCUGUGAACUGUGGCUGAGGGGCUCUCCCCGUUCUGCUUAGCCUUUCUCCACAAGCUUCCCUAAGCUGGGUACCAUAUUUCAUUUGCCAACUUUGACUGGAGGGAGCAUCUGAGAGUGGCUUGUAAGUGUGCUGCCCUGUUAUGUGUAGGAGACUCAAGGAACACAUUAGGGCUGCUUUCAAAGGGUUAAUGUUGAAGAAGUGAUGCCAGUGGUAUGGUUGUCUAAUGGUUAAGUGCACUCAGUCUCCACUUGACAUUGACGAGUUAUGCGAUAUCGAGCAAGUGUUAGUUCUGCAAUCUCUGAAUCUCAGUUCCUCCAUCUGUAACUUGAAUAUAACAAAACUGACUCCACUCUUAGGCUUUGAGGAUGAUUAAAUGAGAUAAUGAAAGUGAACUACUUAACACUGUAGAAAAACUCACUGGGUAGAACUCAUUAAGUUAAUAAGUCAUUACUGUGAAUUCUGGUGAGUGAAGGGUCUGAGCUGUAUUUGACAAGGCCUUUGGAAUUUUUAGCUCUCAGCCAGGGCACUGGUCUCUCAAAAUAAAGCAGGAAUACUUUUCCCAGGCCUAAGGAAACCACUGACUCAAAUCUCCAUGAAUUCAGAAGGAAGGAAAAACAUGGAAGUGAAAGGUGAACUUGGUACCAUCUCUAAGGGAAAUGGAGUCUGUGUGAAGGCUCUAAACUCUGGAUUUAAGUUCCCAAAUGUUGCAUUAUUAUGAGUACCAGGAUGGGGAUCUUUGGGUGUGGCACCAGGAGAAAUCAAAAGUAUCUGGGUGUUUAAGGAGAACCCAGGGCCCAGGGUGUUGACAUUUUAGAAAAUCACUAGGAGUAAAUUCCUGCUAUGCUGGGGCAGAGCUUCCAGAGCCCAAUGUGAGAAGGGUGGUGCUGGUAUUGUGGCGCAGGGAAAGACCUGCAGGAUCUGGAAGAUCCUUAAUCCACAGAAAGCUCCUGCAGGAUAUGGAGAUGUUAAGAAUAGCAGCAGUGACCAAAUAGAGGUCCUUUCUAUUUUUUAACACUUUGCAAAGUGCUUCAUGUUGAGGAGAAAAAAAAAUUGCCAUUUUAUAAAGAGCAUCAGUGUAUUUGUCUUUUAUUUUGUUUUUACAAAAGAAAUUAUAUUUGUGUAUUAACCUUUUUUCCUAAGGACUCGAGGGGUAAAAGAUGGGACCCCAAGGGCAUGAGUUUUAAAGAGAAAACUAAGAGUUGCACUAUUUUGCAUCAAUGGACCUGAAAUUUUUUGGAUGGGAGAGAAAAGACGAGACAGACUGGGGAGAGGGGACAGCAGGAGGGAUAAGGACCACGUUGUAGUCGCUUAAUGCCUGCGUUUGUAAAUACGGCCUAGGGGAUGCUAGAAGCAAACUGUCAAACCUAAUAUUCAGUUUUACAUUUGUGUGUGUGUGUGUGUGGUGUUUUAAUACCUUUCUUUUCCCUAAACUUUCAAAACCCCAAAACUUUGGUGAGUGGGUAUGAGUGUUUAUGCAAGUCACGGGGAGUGAUCUGAGUCAUGUGACCAGGUUGAUGUGGUGACAGGUGCCAACAGCUGAGAAUCACACUUUCAGCCACCUGUCUGGACCCUGUAGAUGAGAAUUAGGAGGAGGAGAAAGCUGGAGAUCCGAAUGGUCCCGGGUUCUCAGAUGUUUCUUUUAUUCACCAUGUUAAGAUGGAGAAAGAGAUUUUUAAAACACUGAAUAGAGUAAUUUCUUUGACAGAAUCUUUUACCAUGACCAGUUUCUUCAAGCAGUUAAUAAUUGUUUUCUUUCAUCAGACAGAAACUCAAUUGAGAGAAACAUUCAGCAGUCCGUGUCAAUAAGCAGCACAGGCUAACAUAUGUGUCUCUUCUGUUGAAAAGGGCUGUUUCUGGUGACACAUUCUAUGAUUAAUCCGUCAGUACAUCCAGGGAUCUUAGAGGCCCAUUAGCAUCCUCUGCCCAGAAUCCCAAUUAUCCUCUUUCUAUUAACAUUUAUGUAAUCCAGAACUAUUUUACAUCUUGGUUGUUCUAGAGAUCAUUAAACAAAGUGGUACCAGGAUAAUCAAGAAAAUAAUUCUGGGUCUUUUCAGUGUAUUUAAUUUUUUUUCUUUUUGUAUGGGACAGGAGGAGAUUGGCAUUCCACACUUGUUAUUUCUUUACAUCAUCCAAUGCACCUGGCUUAAUCUUCCUUGGGCUUAAAGUACUACCUCCAAAAGCUUUCCAAAUCUCUGUAUGGUCAAAAAAGGCUCCCUUCUUCCCCUUCUAUAGCCCACUUGUGAUCCAUCCCUGUUUUCCCAUACAAAUGAGUUCACAAAUAAUAUUUAUAACCACUGAUGUUAUAAUAGUGAGCACUUCCACAUUAGCUCAUAUAUCCUUAAGGAUAUUUUUACUAUUUAAAAAAAACUUUGCAUGUUAGCAUAAAAAUAAAAAUACCCUUAAAAUGUAAACUAUAUAGAGUCUUAAUAGAGUACUUCAUUUUUAAUCUUCCUUUCAUUUCUGGCUAUGCAACAUUUUUCUUUGGGCAGUUAUUCUUCUAUUUCUUAAACAUCAAACUAAAUACAAAGCUUAAAAUGCAACAUGCCCACAAUUUUUUAGUUUCCCCUUUCUUUAGACUGCUUUGUUGUAAUAUUCUUACCAUGAGAAUCCUGUUGGAAAUUUCAGUGGUGUCAGAAUGGCUGGCCUUUAAUACGAAUGAUCACUGAAUACAAAAAGCAUUCAAAACAACUCCCCACUAAUCAAUUUAAAAUUUGCUUCUUUAAUAUGUUCAGUUCAAAUCAUUUUGAAAAAGUUAUUAAAACUUUGUAAAUAUACAAUAUUGCCUCCUUUCUAGGUAUAAGAGUAAUAAUAUGUUUUCAUAAGCAGAAAAUGCAGGAGAACAAUAUAAAAAUCAUUGCUGUUUUUGUUGUGUUCUCAAAUGACAAGGUUGCUGUCUUUUUUUAAAGCAUCCCUUGGAUAAUAAUAUGAAUUAGAUCUCCUAAACCUUAAAUGUAGAUAAAAAUUUACAUUGUGAUGGGAAUCAGCUAAAAUAGGAAAACAGAUCAUGUUGGUACCUGAUCUGAAUUGAGGUUAGACUGAGUUUCUUCUUGUCAUUAGACUAUCAUUAGAAGUUAUGUUAGUUUCCUAUAUUCAUCUAUUCAACACAUAUUUAUUGAGAAACCACUUUGUGCCAGACAAUAUUCUAGGCAUUUGGAGAUGCAACAGUGAACAAAAUGGAGGCAGGACCUUACUUUAAGGAGCUUACUUUACAGGGUGAGAGGCGGGUAGGCUAGGAGUACAGCAACAAGAAGCAUGCUAAGCAAGUACAUUCUAUCUCAUAUCUAGAAGGUGAGAGAGGGAUUGGGACAUGGGAAAGAGAGGAACUUCCCCAGGGUUAUAUAAAGUCUAGAACAAAACAACAGGUUCUAGAAUUUUUAAUCCAAUGCACAAUGUAUUUUGUGAAGUGAGGUCUUAUAUUGCCAGGACACGAUGGUUCCAGCUCUCUACAAUUUCUCACAUGGUUGAAUGUACCACAGUGUUGAAAGUACAACUCAAUAAAGACAUAGAAAUAACAUAUUAAGAUCUGGAAUUUUCAGGAAAUGACUCUCCCAUGCUUCUCUGCUGAGAAGCCAAGGUAGCAAAUCCUUAGAUGUUCAUCCUAAUCAUCUGGUAAAAGGUGUUAGCAUUAAGGAGCGUUGGGAAGACCCCCAUUUAAUAUUUAUGGCAUUCCCAGCAAGAGCACAAAUGGAAGCUAUGACCCAUACCUUUCCUUUCCUAUCCCCAGUUCCUUCCUACACUGUGAGGUGUUUCAUGUAUGUGUGUAUGGACAGCCCAGAGUAAGGAGUCAAGCUCUGUGCAGUUCCCGUCACAGUAGGACAGACCUGGUGCCUGUGCACAAAGCAGGCUCAUGUCAAUGGGCAAGAAAUUCUCCCUUAUCCUGAGUGUGAUCUAGAAGGGACCUUUGGUUUUGGGGUGAACACAACCCCUUGGCAUCAGUUUCUUUAGUGAAUGUGAAGGACAAGGCCAGAGAAGGGCCAGAACUGGGUUCUCUAAGAAUGAGGCCAAAGCAAAUGUCCCAGUUGUCCAGGGCUUAAGGGCUGUAUUUUAUCAGAGGUGUAAGAUAAACAGGGACCUCCGUGAGAUCCAAUAAGAAAUAGGGCAGGGGCUAUCAACUGCGUAUUGGUUAUAUUUUAAUAUGUCAGGAACACUAGCCUGGAAGGAUAUCCAGUUCCACUUUACUGUCAAAUCCAAAAAGAAAAGAUAAUUAACUACAAAUAAUAAUGAUAGAUCACAUAUUUGUAUUCCAGAAUGACUUCCAAGAGGAGGUCCAAGAGAAAAGGCAUUUUAAAAUCUCUUUAUUCAUCUAUUUUUGUAAAGCAUUAUGUAAUCCCAAUACAAAAUUCAAAGGACAUAAAUAAUAUUCAGUGAAAAAUGAAUCUUCUUUCUUCUCCCAUCCCAGCCAUCUGAUUCUCCUAUCUAAAGACAACCACUAUUACAGGUUGUGUGUGUGUUUACGGAGAUAAUUUUAUGUAUUUACCACUCAAAAAUACAGGUGUUGUGAUACACUCAAAAAUUUUAAAUUUAAUAUAAUUUGGGAGAUUAUUCUAUACCAUAUCAGUAUUUUAGGCUUUCUGCAGAAAAUGAUAAAAUUUGUUUUGGCCUUUAUCCUCCCUUUCUCCUGGUAAUUGAACAGCCAACCUGUAUUUAAAGAUUUAAAAAAGAAGAUUCCAGAAUCUUUCCUGUAAAUCUGUAAAACUUUGGUAUUUUAUUUUCCACAUUUCUGUUACAAGCACUUCCUUCUGAUUAUUUAAUAUAAAAUUUGAGUUAAAAAUAAAAGAGCAUCUCAUCCGGAACCAUAUUUAGAUUCAAUUUCUAUUUCAGUUUUAGAAUUUCACUAAGUCUAUGAGAUGCACAGAAAAUCAAAGAUAAAAACCAGCUGUAUAAUUUCACUGACUCAUGGGAAGCAGGAAGAUACUCCAUCACAGUUUCCCAAGCAUCCCUGCUAAGAAUCAUUUGGAUCACUGAGAAAAUAAAGUUUCCCAGGCUCCUCCCUGCAUGAGGAAUCUCAUUCAGUGGGUUUGAGGUGGGCCGUGGAGAGUAACUAGUUUAGCAGGUAUAGUUAAAUUUACUAUAUUACCUGUUACCUCAAACUCCAUGACUUAAUGCUGGGCAAAAUGGUACGUGCCCAUAAUCCUAUUAACUGGGGAGGCUGAGGCAGGAGGAUUGCAAAUUCAAGGAGAGCCUCAGCAACUCAGCAAGGCCCUAAGCAACUUAGUGAGACCCUGGCUCAAAGUAAAAAAAUAAAAAGGCUAGGGAUCUGGCUCAGUGGUUAGAUACCCUGGGUUAAAUCCCUGUUACCAAAGAACUUCCUAACUUAAAAUAGCCACCAUUAUGUGUCACCUCUUACUCUUUUGUGUGUGGGUCAGUUGCUCAGGCAGGACACAGUGCAGAUGUUUGUGCUCCAUGACACCGGAGGCUUCUGCUAAGUGGCUCAAAUUAGGGCAGGAGCACCUGAGGGCUUGUUCUCUGAGGGCAGUUGAUGCUGACUGUCAGAUGGAGCUACCAGAUGAAGCUCCUACACUGGCCUCUGUGUGGCCUGGGCCAUUCUUCAAGAUGGCUCCUGCCAAGAGCCUUCCCACCUUCUGGGAUUCAUGCCUUUGUGUUGUUUCCCACAUUGGAUAAGGGCUGACCCGUUUGAUCAGAAGAACAUGGCAGAAUUGACAGUGCAACUAUAAAAAAAUGUUGCAGCUUCUGCUAGGUCUCUUCUGCUUGUGCUGGAGGAAGCUAGCCACCAUGACAUGCCACCAGACAUGAGGACAGUCUGCCCUGUGGAGGGGCCCACUUGGAAAGAGACUGAGGCCUCCUGAUGGCAGGCAGCACUAGCCUGCCAGCCAGGUGAAUGGUCCCCUUGGAAAUAGGUCUUCUCAGGCCAGUCUGGUCUUCCAGGGACUGCAGCUCCAGUGGAGGUCUGACUACAACUCCUCAAGAGACGUCCAGUCAGAACUGCCAGCCAGGCCUCCUCUGAGUUCUUGUCCCUUAAGUCAUUCAAUUUUGAAAUGAUUUAUUUCAGGGCAUUAGAAAACGAAUACAGCCUCCAGGUAGAUCUCAUUUUCACAAUAAUUUUGAGGACCCUGGCCUGAUACUUUACUGAUUAUGAGGAUAGAGUUCCAAGUGGGAUGGAGGUGAGGGAAGAGUUUUGUUAACAGAAGCACUCUCCAUUCUUAUAAAUGAUCUUCUUAGAAAUAAGCUGUGCCUGCCAAAAAGGGAAAGGAAGGAUUCUACUUCUCAUUUUUGUGAUACAGCAAGGAAUAAGAUGAAGCUUUAUCUCCUACAAGAUUGGGGAGGAGCAUUAGUCACAUUUUCAAGGUUGUGGGGUAAAGCAAUUCUGGACCUCAGGUUCUGCCAGAGGAAAACUCCAUGUGUGGGUUUUUCCUUAUAUUUUGAUUUGAGUUUAUAUGCUUCUUGGUUGGUGUAAGCCCCAGACCCCUUCAAGAAUAGAACUGUAGAACAACCAUGUUCUCCAUUACUCCUGAGAUUAGGUCCCCAUGCAAAUAAUAGUUUCCACCCUGGUUGUUUUUCCUGCAGACUGCAUGUCAGUUAGUAAUUGUUCUCCCAGGGAAAAGUCUACCAGGCUGAUUCAGCUCUUUGUAUUCCCACCGUCUGCCAUGCAGCCCGGCUGUCAGUGUAUUUUUGAAAAAGCAGAAACAAUCUGGCAGUGAGAGAGUUUAUUAUGAUAUCAACUACAGAAUAUAUUGUAGAUAUUGCAGGUUACCGAGGUUUAUUAAAAUAUCAAACACUCCUUAACUAUUCCAUGCUCCCCCUGCCCUUUGGAAAAGUAUAACUGAAAUGCUGGGCGUGGUAUUUUCCUAUAGUAGACUUGUGAAAUAAAUAUGAAAAGUUCUUCUGGAGGUAGUGGGAGAACUAAAGAAGCAGAUUGGAAACAAGACUAAGACAAAUAUACCACUUGCAUCAAUUACUGACCAUUGUCAUUUUUAUUUGCAGGUUUGUGCCCCUCACCAUGUCUUGACAUUUACUCCUUCAGUGAGAAGAGAGUGGGUGACCAGCUGCUUGAGAUGCUGGAGGGCCCAAGGACCUUUGGGACAUACUCUUUGCCCCCAGGUAGCUGAAGGAUUUGUAAAAGAAACAGAGACAAAAACCCAGAUAUGGGAGCAACGGCAACACUGGAGACAGAUGCCCCAGCUCAACACUGGAGAUGUCUGAAUCCAGUGAGUCGAGGACAGACCACGGGACCAAGGACAAGACUCAGCCUCCUUGGACGUGCAUGGUCCAGUGUUACCUACGAGAGCAACUCAGAGCCAUUCUCAGUGACCAGGGAUGAGGCAAUGUUUCCCAAAGUGUGGUCCCAGGAUCACCAGGAGAGAAACCCUGGAGGUGAGAGAGCACUCGGUGGAACCCAGGUUCCUGGGCCUCAGGGAAGACCCUGAAUGGGAACCUCUGUGAAAUGAGCCUAAGAAGCUGCAUUUGUUUUGGGGUUUUUUUUGGGGGGGGGGGUUUGAACUCAGGGGCACUCAACCACUGAGCCCCAUCCCCAACCCAAUUUUGCAUUUUAUUUAGAGACAGGGUCUUACUGAGUUGCUUAGUGCCUUGCCAUUGCCGAGGCUGGCUUUGAAUUGGGAUCCUCCUGCCUCAGCCUCCCGAGUUGCUAGAAUUACAGGCCUGUGCCAUGGCAAAAUUAUCUUUGGCAUCUUUGGCAUCUAAUUCUUAAUUUUCAAAAGUUUGUGAAGAAAGAGUGGAGGUGCCAGUUUGUACUCUCUCGUUUUUAUGAAGCAAUCGACCAGAAUCUGACAAUGAAACCAUCUCCAAGCCAUAGGUAGAUUUCCUCUCUUCUACUCAGCAAAACGCUCCCUUUCCUUAUUCAAGCCAUUCAUCCAUGACCUUGGGCAAGUGACUUAGGCCCUGGUUUCCUGUAAAAUAGAGCAGAGAAUAACUCCUAUCUCCUGGGCUUGCCGGGAAGGGGACAUGAACUAAUUCUGUAGAGCACACACGGAGAUGAGCUCAGUAAACGUUAACCUGUUGUUAUUAUUAUUAGCCAAAGCAGCUAGAAGCAAGGGCAUUCUGAGUCUCAAGUGCCCUCCACGUAGCCCCCUUUGAGUUUCCCGUGGCCUCCCGCUGCACCCUGGGUCCUCCCCAACCCCUCUGCAGGCUCAGCCGGAGGAGACCCUCUGUUUGGCACAGGCCCCCAGCCAGUGGGAGCCCCACGAUGCCCACACGGUCCUUGCUUUGGUUUGGUCAGGAAGCGGCCUUCCCCAAACUGCUCAGAACCAUAUUUGCAAAGCAAUUGUUCAAGACUAGUGGUGGGAGGUGGAACAGUGCAGGGUCCCACUGAACAAUACGGGAGAGGAGGCCCCCAGCUGCCCAGAGGGACAGGAAGACUGGGCUGCGCGUGAGAUCAUGAGUUCGAGGCCCUGUGGAGAAUGGGGAACCCAGAGCAAGCUGGGUGACAGCUCAGCUGCUGGCUGUCCCACCCACAGUACAGACCCAUAGGGCUCGGAGAGCUCCACCCUAUUGCUUGACAUCCAUCACUGACUGCCCAGGCUCUCAGGUGAGAGUCUGAGCUCCUCCUGCCUCUGCUGACUGCCCCUUCUCUCCCCAGCUUUGAACUGGACGCUGCCUGGAGCCCCCUUCACAAGACACACUCUCUCCUGCUGACCAGCUUGGACCUGCUGGAAAACCUCUUGCCUGACCUCCGCGACCUGCCGUCCUCCUUACAGCACCUUCCCGGGAAGCCUCCUGAGCCUCCUCAGGGGCCAGCACCUGCCUAGGAUGAGGAGGCAAUUUCAGUUUACCUGGCCACUUCUCCCACCUCAGCUGUGGACACCGCCGUGGGCCACAGGGGAGGCUGGGCCCCUGCUGCAUGCUGUUGGGUGAGCCUGGGCCCUAACCUUCGGGCUUCCCCACCUCUGGUGCUCUCCUGACUUUUAUUUCCAACAAAAAUCAUCAGUUCUCUGUUGAGGCUGCCCAGCCCCAUGAGGGGUGCAGGGGACGGGGAAGCCUCUCCUCUCUGAGGGGUGUUAUGAGCUGAGCUGGGUCCUCCUCAUGUCCAUAUGUUGGAGCUCCAACCCCCAGAACCUCACAAUAUGAGUGCAUUAGGAGCUGGGGUCUUAGAGAGCUAAGUGGGUUAAAACUGGGCCAUCAAUGUGAGCUCUAUCCAAUGCGACGGGUGUCCUUAGGAGCAGAGGACACUAGGGCCAGGCACACACAGAGGGACAACAUGUGAAGACACAGGGAGAAGAUGGCAUCUACAGGCCAAGGAGGGAGGCCACAGAAGGAACCGGCCCUGAGGAUACCUUGACCUUGACCUUGGACUUCCAACCUCCACAACUAUGGAGCUGAAUUUCUGAUGCUUAAGCCGCUCAGCUGGGGUCCUUCAUCCCUAGCGAAUGAUACAAGGAACUUAGAAUUCCAAGAUGGAAGAAGCCCAAAGCCUGUUGAACCUAGCCACCAUGGACAAGGGCACUGUCACCUCCGCCUGCUGGGAAAGACAGGAAGGAAGGACCACGGAGGGUGCCACCGUCAGGGGUUAGGAGGAGCUGGCGUGGCUGAGCUGAAAGUGCCUUGAGUUCAGGACUGGGAGGGCCCCUUGUGUCCUCCCUAGUUGGAAGAAUGAGGAAACGCGCCCAGAGAGGAGGAAGGACCUGCCCAGGUCUGAUCCUAAAGGAGGAAAGCUCCAGCCCCGCCCAGCCCCGCCAUCCUGGGGUUGUCAGUUUCAAUGAUUAACCACUCAUUAGGUGCUAGGGGAUCUGGCCUUGAGGAACCACAGUUUUGAGGAGGAAGGCGUCUGGCCACUGGGGCGGGAAAAACAGCUGCUGUGAUUUCACAUCUGUAUUUGCAGAGAUUCUUCCUCUAACCCCCCCCCCCCCCCCCCAUGCUCAGGCAACAAAGAGCUUCCCUUGCAAUGCCCUGGAUCUGGGGUGGAGUAGAGAACAAAGGGGACCCUGGACACUAUCUGGGGGCAGGAGAGAAUGAGGUCCCCUGGGGGCUGACCCUUGAGCUGGUGUAGCCACAAGGACCCAGAAGGGAGGCAGGCAAGGUCCCAUCCUCUCUCUGCCAGUUGCCCCUGUAUUAGACAACUUCCUGCUGCUAUACUGAAAUACUCAAGGCUGGGUAAUGUUGUAAAGAAAAGAAAUUAUAGCUCACAGUUCUGGAGGUUAAGGGCAUAGCACCUGCAUCAGCAGACUUUAGCUCAUAUCUUUCCUCAGGUGCUUCUUUGGAUCAGUAUCUCUUGGCAUGAACAAUGAUCUCUGUGAUUCGCUUGUACAUGUCUUUGGCCCAGGUGGGCCUUGAAUGGCUUUUCCUUUUAUCUGACUGAUGGUGAAAGAUCCCUUUGUAAUUAAAAGUAUUUAAAUCUGUCCCUUACAAAAAGAAAAGAAGAAGAAGAAGAAGAAGAAGAAGAAGAAGAAGAAGAAGAAGAAGAAGAAGAAGAAGAAACAGAGACAUACAUGCAGUAUUAUGAUGUGAUCUCUGAGGUGAUAAAGUGAUAAAUGAGAACUUUGAUGUCCAGAGGAGAGAUUGCUUAAGAGCAGCUUUUUAAGUAUGGUCAUGAUGUUACAGGCUACAUAUGUGACAGUAGUCCCAUAAAAUUAUAAUGGAACUAAAAAAUUCUUACCCCUAGUGAUUUAGCCAUCUUAAUGUCACAGCACACUUAUGUAUUUGUGGUGAUGCUGGUAUAAAUAAAGCUUUGUCACUGCCAAGAAUAUACAAGUAUAUACAUACAGUUGUGUAUAGUAAUGUAUCAAGUAUAAUAUAGGAAUACAUCAAGUAUAAUACUUAAUAAUGAUAAUAAAAAAUUGUUAAUCAUUUGGUCUAAACUAAUAGAAGGAAAUACAUUAUUUGACUAUUGAAGAAAUUAUUAUUGUCAAC
rnacentral:lncRNA from 1 species